rnacentral:rRNA from 1 species
AACGAACGCUGGCGGCAUGCCUAACACAUGCAAGUCGAACGAGACCUUCGGGUCUAGUGGCGCACGGGUGCGUAACGCGUGGGAACCUGCCCUUAGGUUCGGAAUAACUCCCCGAAAGGGGUGCUAAUACCGGAUAAUGUCUUCGGACCAAAGAUUUAUCGCCUUUGGAUGGGCCCGCGUUGGAUUAGCUAGUUGGUAGGGUAAAAGCCUACCAAGGCGACGAUCCAUAGCUGGUCUGAGAGGAUGAUCAGCCACACUGGGACUGAGACACGGCCCAGACUCCUACGGGAGGCAGCAGUGGGGAAUAUUGGACAAUGGGCGAAAGCCUGAUACAGCAAUGCCGCCUGAGUGAUGAAGGCCUUAGGGUUGUAAAGCUCUUUUACCCGGGAUGAUAAUGACAGUACCAGGAGAAUAAGCUCCGGCUAACUCCGUG